GAUGAAGAACGCAGCGAAAUGAGAUAAGUAAUGCGAAUUGCAGAUUUCAGUGAGUCAUCGAAUCUUUGAACGCACAUUGCGCCCGCCAGUAUUCUGGCGGGCAUGCCUGUUCGAGCGUCAUUUCAACCAUCAAGCCCCCGGGCUUGCGUUGGGGCCCUGCGGCUGCCGCAGGCCCCGAAAAGCAGUGGCGGGCUCGCUGUCACACCGAGCGCAGUAGCGAUUCUCGCUCCGGGCGUCGGCGGCGGGCACCGGCCGUGAAACCCCCCCACAUCCACAAGGUUGACCUCGGAUCAGGCAGGAAUACCCGCUGAACUUAAGCAUAUCAAUAAGCGGAGGA
rnacentral:misc_RNA from 1 species